rnacentral:tRNA from 1 species
GCCGAUGUAGCUCACUUGGUAGAGCAAUACACUCGUAACGUAUAGGUAGCCGGUUCGAUUCCGGCCAUCGGCUCCG